UACGGGGGGGGCAAGCGUUGUUCGGAAUUACUGGGCGUAAAGGGCUCGUAGGUGGCCAACUAAGUCAGACGUGAAAUCCCUCAGCUUAACUGGGGAACUGCGUCUGAUACUGGAUGGCUUGAGUUUGGGAGAGGGAUGCGGAAUUCCAGGUGUAGCGGUGAAAUGCGUAGAUAUCGGAAGGAACACCAGUGGCGAAAGCGGCUUCCUGGUCCAGCACCGACGUUCAGGCACGAAAGCGUGGGGAGCAAACGGG
rnacentral:rRNA from 1 species